GGUCACUUUGGGAUUGGGCUAUUGUCUGUUUCCAUGUGUUCAGCCUUUGAGUGUUUUUCCCCUGUGUCCUGUAUUCCUGAGUUCCUGUUUUCCCUUGGAUUUUGACCAUUGCCUG